GAUGAACGCUGGCGGCGUGCCUAAUACAUGCAAGUCGAGCGAACAGACGAGGAGCUUGCUCCUCUGACGUUAGCGGCGGACGGGUGAGUAACACGUGGAUAACCUACCUAUAAGACUGGGAUAACUUCGGGAAACCGGAGCUAAUACCGGAUAAUAUAUUGAACCGCAUGGUUCAAUAGUGAAAGACGGUUUUGCUGUCACUUAUAGAUGGAUCCGCGCCGCAUUAGCUAGUUGGUAAGGUAACGGCUUACCAAGGCAACGAUUCGUAGCCGACCUGAGAGGGUGAUCGGCCACCCUGGAACUGAGACACGGCCCAGACUCCUACGGGAGGCAGCAGUAGGGAAUCUUCCGCAAUGGGCGAAAGCCUGACGGAGCAACGCCGCGUGAGUGAUGAAGGUCUUCGGAUCGUAAAGCUCUGUUAUUAGGGAAGAACAAAUGUGUAAGUAACUAUGCACGUCUUGACGGUACCUAAUCAGAAAGCCACGGCUAACUACGUG
rnacentral:rRNA from 1 species